ensembl:lncRNA
GUUCGAGGCCAGCCUGGGCUACAUAGUGAAUUCAAGAUCAGUCUGGACUACACGCUACAACCUCAGUGGUCCCGUGAUGCUGUGAUGCUCCAGGACAAGAUUACACCAGCUGAAGACAUCCUGGGAGGAACAAAAUCUUCAUCUGCAUAGUUCCUCAUUGAUCUAGGAUAUCUGCCGCCUGCCUCGCAAGUGCAAGGUCCUGAGUUCGAUCCCUGUUACCAAAAAAAAAAGUUCUUUACAUUUUCAGAUCUCCCCAUGUUGUGUCUUACUUUUGGGGAAGAGAAUAGGAGGAGGAAGGAGCAAAAACAGUGUCUCAUUGGAGUCCCCAAAGUGUGUGAGAUUUAUGGUAGUACAAUUAUGGGAUGAAAUAGCCAGGCAAAUCAGAUGGAAGGUAUCUUCCUCAUCACUGGAACAAAAUACUUGA